CCCCCAACAGCCUGUCCUUCACGCUGCUGGUGGCUCUUGCACCUCAUUGCGGAGCACCAACCGCGGAGCAAGACACCAGCAUUGUCUGCGGAGCGAUAACGGGCUGUGUUUCCAAUAUCACUGCCCACUGGCCCUGACAGAUACGGCGGUGGUUCCUGCCAGGAAAUCCCCUCUGCCUCAUGGAAAACCCAGAGGAGGAAGUGGAGCCCCGAGGACUGUUCAGGCUCCACCCCAAGUUGUCAGAGUGAAACCAUCCUAUCUUCUCGGGCCCGGCAGCCCAUGGGCUCUGCACACACUUGCAGGGACCUGGGAGCCUGCGACAAGAAACACACACACCACCGAGGCCUCAUGUGGUUGCCUCCGCGCCGUGUUUUACCAGAUCUGAGCUGGUUUGGAGUCGAACUACCACUUGAUAAAGCCUGCAGAGGAAGAGCUGUUGCUACCUCCGUUUUGCAAACGAGAAAACCAGGGCCGAGAGCUCUGCCAGAGAUCUAACAAGAUGUGAUCAAGAAUGGGCAGAGCUGCUCAGACAUCCCCAAGCAUCAGGAGAACCUCGCUGGCUCUGCUGGGCGAUGAUGCCCUGGAGAGCCUGGGAGCUCCUUCCUCGACGUGCAUCUGUGAGCAAGUGCUGGACACUUUUUACCCACUUCUACUGUCUCUUGUGGCUGCUGGAACGAGUGACUGCAAACCUGGUGGCUCUGUCCUCGCAGAUCUGGAGGCCAGGUGUCUGUGGGCAGGCGGGGCUGGUCCCCGGCGGGAGGCUCCGGGGAGAGUCUCCUCCUCGCCUCUCGGGGUGCUGGUGGCUGUCAGCGUCCUCGGCACACCUGGCUUGUAGCAGCAACCCUCCCAUCCCUGGCCUUCCCCCCUCUGUCCAGGGUCUGUUUCCCAGAGAAAAAUUCACACAUCGUUAAGAGUUCAACACAUAAAUUUGGGGGACACAAAAUGCAGCCCGUAACACUCAUUAUUUCCAAUAAAACAAGGCUCUUUAGACCCACCUUCGGAAAUGAUUCCCAAACUACAGAACCGUUGAACUUCAGAAAUGGGAGGAACAUCAACGUCCAUCCAGCCCAGGACCCGCGGGAUGGGUGAGACUCCUCCACGGUCCUUCCCAGAUGUCUCCCGAGCAUCUUUGGGAACGCCUCUGUCCCCCGUCUCCCGAGGCAGCCCCAGACCCCUCGGGUGGCCCUGCGGUCCGGGAGCGUCGUCCUGCUGAGCUGCCGUCCGGCUCCCCGCCCCACCU